ACCUCUAGUCUAGUGAAUGCUGAAGUUCUUUGACUAACAGUUGCAAUCUAUUAAAGGUGGAGGUAGAAGUUCCAUGGAAUAAGAUCAACUGAGUUACAGAUGCCAGAGAAAUAUCAUGGUAAAUGAGCACAAGUGAGCUUAUGGUAUUUGAAAUGGUAUAGAAGUUAACAUGACAAUAUUGCUGAUCUCCAAAAUAUUUGGCUCCACAAAGUAACAGGAGAUACAACAGUUUCACAAUUUUUACUGGUAGAAGUUGUUAAACGGUAAUAAUGCUAAUCAUAUUCCAUUUGCACAGAAUUGUCAUUCGUUCAGCUUUCUUAGUCAAUCAUCUCCACAUCAGUUGAUUUGACAUUGAUAAACUGUAUACCCACCAAAGAAAUUAAAGUUCUCCAAUUUACUGAUACAAUCACCACUAAUAUUAUAGCAACGGUAAUGCAUGUCCAUUUCUUGCUCUAUUUCUUCUCGGUGGCCAACAGAAAGGCCUGAGAUAUGAUCAUGGCAUUUCAGGCAUACACACUUGGGAAAGCCCUUCUAACCUUGCAUCUCCCAGUCUAUGGUAAAACAUAUAUACAU
rnacentral:lncRNA from 1 species